rnacentral:rRNA from 1 species
UUUAUGGAGAGUUUGAUCCUGGCUCAGGAUGAACGCUGGCGGCGUGCCUAAUACAUGCAAGUCGAGCGAACGGACGAGAAGCUUGCUUCUCUGAUGUUAGCGGCGGACGGGUGAGUAACACGUGGAUAACCUACCUAUAAGACUGGGAUAACUUCGGGAAACCGGAGCUAAUACCGGAUAAUAUUUUGAACCGCAUGGUUCAAAAGUGAAAGACGGUCUUGCUGUCACUUAUAGAUGGAUCCGCGCUGCAUUAGCUAGUUGGUAAGGUAACGGCUUACCAAGGCAACGAUGCAUAGCCGACCUGAGAGGGUGAUCGGCCACACUGGAACUGAGACACGGUCCAGACUCCUACGGGAGGCAGCAGUAGGGAAUCUUCCGCAAUGGGCGAAAGCCUGACGGAGCGACGCCGCGUGAGUGAUGAAGGUCUUCGGAUCGUAAAACUCUGUUAUUAGGGAAGAACAUAUGUGUAAGUAACUGUGCACAUCUUGACGGUACCUAAUCAGAAAGCCACGGCUAACUACGUGCCAGCAGCCGCGGUAAUACGUAGGUGGCAAGCGUUAUCCGGAAUUAUUGGGCGUAAAGCGCGCGUAGGCGGUUUUUUAAGUCUGAUGUGAAAGCCCACGGCUCAACCGUGGAGGGUCAUUGGAAACUGGAAAACUUGAGUGCAGAAGAGGAAAGUGGAAUUCCAUGUGUAGCGGUGAAAUGCGCAGAGAUAUGGAGGAACACCAGUGGCGAAGGCGACUUUCUGGUCUGUAACUGACGCUGAUGUGCGAAAGCGUGGGGAUCAAACAGGAUUAGAUACCCUGGUAGUCCACGCCGUAAACGAUGAGUGCUAAGUGUUAGGGGGUUUCCGCCCCUUAGUGCUGCAGCUAACGCAUUAAGCACUCCGCCUGGGGAGUACGACCGCAAGGUUGAAACUCAAAGGAAUUGACGGGGACCCGCACAAGCGGUGGAGCAUGUGGUUUAAUUCGAAGCAACGCGAAGAACCUUACCAAAUCUUGACAUCCUUUGACAACUCUAGAGAUAGAGCCUUCCCCUUCGGGGGACAAAGUGACAGGUGGUGCAUGGUUGUCGUCAGCUCGUGUCGUGAGAUGUUGGGUUAAGUCCCGCAACGAGCGCAACCCUUAAGCUUAGUUGCCAUCAUUAAGUUGGGCACUCUAAGUUGACUGCCGGUGACAAACCGGAGGAAGGUGGGGAUGACGUCAAAUCAUCAUGCCCCUUAUGAUUUGGGCUACACACGUGCUACAAUGGACAAUACAAAGGGCAGCGAAACCGCGAGGUCAAGCAAAUCCCAUAAAGUUGUUCUCAGUUCGGAUUGUAGUCUGCAACUCGACUACAUGAAGCUGGAAUCGCUAGUAAUCGUAGAUCAGCAUGCUACGGUGAAUACGUUCCCGGGUCUUGUACACACCGCCCGUCACACCACGAGAGUUUGUAACACCCGAAGCCGGUGGAGUAACCUUUUAGGAGCUAGCCGUCGAAGGUGGGACAAAUGAUUGGGGUGAAGUCGUAACAAGGUAGCCGUAUCGGAAGGUGCGGCUGGAUCACCUCCUUU